rnacentral:misc_RNA from 1 species
AAGGCUUAGUUGAGUUGAGUUAAGAUUAUAAAACGAAAAAUAUAGCAUCAAGCAUACAACGUGCCACAAAUGACAAAAGUGCAAGGGAUGUCAUGAAAACUACAUUCUGAAAUAUACCAUAAAAUAAUAAAAGCAAGCAAGAUAGGUCCAUAUCAGAUAGUAACAGUUCUGACACCAGAACAUUAUGUUGACUUAUAAAUGCCCAUAAUUCUGUGUUAUUUAGAAAGACAAGUGAGCCACAUUCAUGCUCAUAACAAUGAUAUCUAAGAAGGAGAAAAUUGCAUUAGUGCAUUGUAAUUUAUAAUACAUCAGAAGAACUUAUGGCCUGAAAUAUACUGUUACGAUGUAUUUAGAAAGGAAACUAUAAAAGUUCCAUAAUUAACUAACUCAUUCCUAAGGAAUAUGAUGACAUUCCAGCACACUGUGGAAGUCCCAACCCCUCCAUAACACAGACAAAGGAAGUAAUGGAAACUCAGGAAAACGAGGGAAAGAGAUUGACCACAGAACAACACACCCCAACACCACCCCCCACCCAAAAGAAAUGACCUCAUUCCCAAAAGAAAAGGGAGUUGAAAGUCCAUUUCUAUAUUCACUUACGGCCAGAUAUUCAUAUUAAUCUCAAAAUGUGCAUGCUGGGGGGCUUUUUUUAGGGGGGUGGUUGGGUUGGGUUUUGUGCGGUGAAGAGCUUUCAGCAGCUAUCAAACAUGCCAUAAUUUACAAUAUGAGGAUGUUUCAAAUGAGCUCCAGUUUCAUCUAAACAUCCCAAGAAAGAGUCCAUGGUAAAGAAAUAUGAUUCAUAGGCAUAAAUUGAGUUCCAGAAUUCCAUCAAAUACAUACAUGGAAAGUUGUGAAUUUCAAUUUUAAAGAACUCAGAGCUUGACUUCAGUGAUUCUAGAUCUAAAAAACAACAUUCAUAAACAUUUACAAAGGCAUAACAAAGGUUAUAUCACCAGUAUCAAGAAGACUAGAUAGGUCACAAGCUGCUAAUUUCUAAUCAACAACUGCCAGUUAAACCACUUUCCAAUGUCCAACACCCUAGGGUAGAUGUUACCAGAAGAAUUCAUGCUUCUUGCUCCAUUUAAAGCUAGUCCAAGGAAAAAAUGCAGAAAAAGAUACAUGAAAAUAAAAUUUAAAGGUAAUUCCCAAUAAAUCCAUGCAAUUAUGUGUAAAUUUCUGCCAAGCUGAGCAGGACAAAUGAUAAGGAGCAAACUCAAAAGUGGUAGCAAGACAUUUACUUUUUUUUUCUUUUAAAAACAUUGCAUAUUCAUGAUUAUCAAUAUUUAUUGAGUGAUGCAUGCACACAGAGAGAAAAAGGAUACAUAUAUUAGUCUUUUUUGCCACCAUGAUCUUCAUUUUCACUUGGAUAUUUUCCUAGACUUGCAAGAAUUUGGCAUGAGCAAGAUAUUAAACCAUAGUCAAACUAUUAAGGAAUCCCAAUUAUCUCUUUUUGCUGGGUCAUAUACACUGAUCAAUAUGUGAGCAUGUGCACAGAGAGGGAGAAAAAGAAAGUAAAGAAAUUAUUAACCUAAAGUCAAUGACUACAAAGCCUUUUUGCAAGGUAUAAAGGCUUGCUCUGACAAGGACUUAAAUUUUGAAAAAUAGCAUUGCAGAGACAAAACAAAUUUAAUGUAUCUUUGCCAUAUGGAAAUUUAAAGUGAGCUGGAAUAUAUAGCAACUGAAAAGGCUGAAAACGUAAAAGAACAUGGCAAUUCUAGCAAUCAACUAUUUCAUUUGCUUUGUUGAUUUGACUAUUAAAAGUACACAUUAAUGCUAUGUUUGGGAAGAGGGGGAAAUAAGGGAAAGAAAACAAUGAGCGGAAAAUAAAGAUGGAAAGUGGAUUUCCCUUGUUUGAGAGGAAGAAAGAAAAGCACAGCGGGAAAUAUUCAAUAUUUUCCUUUUUGACCCACAAAUAUUACUUUCCCUUUCACACCCUAUGAUAUGGAUUCAA